CCUACGGGAGGCAGCAGUGAGGAAUAUUGGUCAAUGGACGAGAGUCUGAACCAGCCAAGUAGCGUGAAGGAUGACUGCCCUAUGGGUUGUAAACUUCUUUUAUAUGGGAAUAAAACAGGGUAUGCAUACCCUCUUGUAUGUACCAUAUGAAUAAGGAUCGGCUAACUCCGUGCCAGCAGCCGCGGUAAUACGGAGGAUCCGAGCGUUAUCCGGAUUUAUUGGGUUUAAAGGGAGCGUAGGUGGAUUGUUAAGUCAGUUGUGAAAGUUUGCGGCUCAACCGGAACAUUGCAGUUGACACUGGCAGUCUUGAGUACAGUAGAGGUAGGCGGAAUUCGUGGUGUAGCGGUGAAAUGCUUAGAUAUCACGAAGAACUCCGAUUGCGAAGGCAGCUCACUGGACUGCAACUGACACUGAUGCUCGAAAGUGUGGGGAUCAAACAGGAUUAGAUACCCGGGUAGUC
rnacentral:rRNA from 1 species